rnacentral:rRNA from 1 species
CCUACGGGAGGCUGCAGUGAGGAAUAUUGGUCAAUGGCCGGAAGGCUGAACCAGCCAAGCCGCGUGAAGGACGAAGGUGCUAAGCAUUGUAAACUUCUUUUGUCAAGGGACAAAAUUAGGCUCGAGAGCCUGACCGAGGGUACUUGAAGAAAAAGCAUCGGCUAACUCCGUGCCAGCAGCCGCGGUAAUACGGAGGAUGCGAGCGUUAUCCGGAUUUAUUGGGUUUAAAGGGUGCGUAGGCGGACUGUUAAGUCAGCGGUAAAAGGCCGGGGCUAAACCCCGGCGAGCCGUGGAAACUGGCUGUCUUGAGAUGACGAGAGGUAUGCGGAAUG